CGUGUGCAGUGUGGCCCCCAACCUCCCCGCCGUGUCACCCUGCCGCUCCGACUGCGACUCCAUCCGGAAGAAUGGCUGGGACGCGGGAACUGAGAACAAAGGGGUUGAUGACCCGGGAGAAGUGACCUGCUUUGCAGGUAGUAAUAAAGGCAGCAACUCUGAAGUUCAGUCCCUCAGCUCCUUCCAGUCAGAUUCUGGUGACGACAACGCCUAUCACUGGGACACCUCUGAUUGGAUGCCAGGGGCCCGCCUGUCAGACAUAGAGGAAGUGCCCAACUAUGAGAACCAGGAUGGAGGGUCUGCACACCAGGGGAGCACACGGGAGCUGGAGAGCGAUUACUACCUGGGUGGUUAUGACAUUGACAGUGAAUACCCACCCCCUCAUGAUGAGGAGUUCUUGAGUCAGGACCAGCUGCCUCCCCCUCUCCCGGAGGACUUCCCAGACCAAUAUGAGGCCCUGCCACCCUCCCAGCCUGUCUCCCUGGCCAGCACACUGAGCCCAGACUGCAGGAGAAGGCCCCAGUUUCAUCCUAGCCAGUAUCUCCCUCCUCACCCAUUUCCCAACGAAACGGAUUUGGUGG
rnacentral:sRNA from 1 species